GCUGGGUCAGAAUGGGAUGUGUUAAAACCAUUUGGUAUUCCAUUUUCAUGUUGGUUGCUGUAGACCCAUCCCCAGCAACAAUAACCUGCAGAAGGAAAAGCCAGUUUGCAUAUCCUUCACUUUCGAAGGUCAUGGAGAUGUAAACCGUGUCAUGUAGUGGUGUAGAGGUUGGGUGAGAAAGGGACGGCGAGUGUUUCACCAUUGUCAAGCAGAUACAAUACCGGAAGGGUAAGAGGAAAGGGUGAGAAAAAAAAUCUUAUAAAAGGAGAGAAAAGGCCAGAGACAUCAGUAGACUGAGCAUCACCGUCACGGACUCACGGCAACAACUUGUACACUACCUGUACCUAGGACCUUCUUCAUCGCAUUACCAGUUCGCAGCAAUGGGGUAAACGACAACAACUGCUGUGCGCUAUUUGUCAUCAACUGCAUUCUUCUUCGUUUCACCAGUUUGCAAUCAUGGAUGAAUUAAUAAAAAAUGGUUUCCAAGUACUACACCACCAAGUCGUCGAAAUGCUAUACGACUACGUAUGCUGCCCCACCUGCUGAACCGCGACUCACUAAGUCCCUGGAGUACGUUGCCCGAGCUUAUAACACGGUGGCUCCCAAGUACUACAACACCAAGGCACCUGUGUACUACACCACUACGUGUCCUGCGUCAACCUGCUACACCGAGACUUCCAAGCAUUUUUCUGUUUGAGUUACUACACCGUGGCUUAAACUUUCUACACCAUCAAAGCUGCUGAGAACUACGCCGAAGCGCCUAAUUACUACUCUGCCCCAAGCUUCACAUCCACAACUGAGGUGGUGGAGUACUUAGUAGGUUCGAAUCACUACGCAGCUGCUACUUCGUACUAUGUUGAAGACUGCUCUGAGUCUUCAGUUUACUACACCACAACUUACGCUUCAUUUAACUACUGCACCGAAGCUCCCAAGUACUGCAUCGAAAAGCUUGAAUCGAAAAGUCGUACUGCAUCGAAAACGUAUGGUGCUCCAGUUAACUACACCGAGGAACCUAAGAGAGAAAGGCGAAAGAAAAUAGUCGAUGGAUUAUCUCCUACACGGUAAAAGUUAAUGCAGUGCACCAUUUGUCAUCAACUGCAUUCUUUGUCGUAUUACUACUUCACAUUAAUGAAAUCUAGUUCGCUUUUACAUAGAAUGUGAACUAUGGCGUCAUGCUGCUGUUGGUUGUUGCAUCGUUCAUGGCUGGGUCAACCUCGGGUGUAUUUAUGUUUCCUGUGUAUGGUGGAUAUCAAGUGACAGCAGCGAAAGAACAGUACAAUACGUCGCCGCCUUACUACACAACGUUAACAUACGCAACACCACGUACCAUUAAUAGGCUCUUAAAUACUACACUACCAAGGCUCUGAGUACAACACGAAAAUUAUGCUGUCUCGAGCUUCUACACCGAAGUAUUACUCUGCCCCGAGUCACAUCAUAAAAGCGCCUGAGUACUACACUAGUCUUCCAAGUUUUACACUAACAAAACUCCAAGCUACUACACCGAGGCUAUAGCGUAAUACACCACCGAAGCGGUUGAAUACUACACCGAAGCGUCCAAGUACUGCAUUACAACGUACUGCAGCCCCCUAUUUGUCACCAACUGCCUUAUUCAUCGUAUUAAAUCAGUUACUAAUCAUAGAUAUCGAUGAUGUUGAUGUGUGUUUUGUUGAUGGCUGGGUCGAUCACUGGUGUACUGAUGUCUCCUGGAAAUGGCUGAUACCAAACCACCACACCGCUGCCAUACUACACAACAACGAGGUCUCCAAGUACUACACCACUGUAGGACGGAAUAUUACAAGAUUAUGUAUGCAGUUCCUGCCUACUACACCAAGGCCCCUAAACUCCUACUAGUUGUCUACUAAAAUAUUGUGUCGGUUUUGUUUUACAUCCCUGUAGUGUAUAAUUCAUAUUAUUUGAUGUUAUUCUGUUUUGCAAUGUGGUGUGUUGCAGCUCAGGUUGGUGAAAGUUCUUUGAUGUGAAGUUAAAACUGCGGUUGUCUCAAGCGAUGUCAAAGAAUAUCUACUGAAUACUUGAAACUUAAACCUGCAAUAACAUGUUAAAUUUGAAACUCAAUUGCUAUUUCAUCUUGUCAUGCAUUAAAUACGUUGAAAUAUGCAAUUAACCAAUCAAAUACAA